GAGUUCAUGCCCGAAAGGGUAGACCUCCCACCCUUGUGUAUUAUUACUUUGUUGCUUUGGCGAGCUGCCUUCGGGCCUUGUAUGUUUGCCAGAGAAUAUUAAAACUCUUUUUACUAAUGUCGUCUGAGUACUAUAUAAUAGUUAAAACUUUCAACAACGGAUCUCUUGGUUCU
rnacentral:misc_RNA from 1 species